UAUAUGUUAAUAAGAUGGUGUGUCCCUGCAAUGUUGUGUGCCACCAUGACUGUGUCAUUGCGAUUGUGUGUCACUGGGAUAAACUGGCUGUGGGAUUAUGAGGGUGUCACUUGUCCUCGUGUGUGUGUCCCUGAUACUGUGUGCUCUAGGGACUCAGUCAUGGAGACUGCGUGUGUCUGGGCGAUGCGGUUGUGUAUUGGGGUAAGGUGUGCCGCUGUGGUUGUGGGUCUGCGGCAGUGCUUGUGCGUCCUGGGACUGUGCUGACUGCGAUUUGGUGUGCCCGUGCGAUGCCGUGUGUCUCGGCGUGUUCCUGGUGUUGUGUACGUCUGCGUGCGUGUCACGGUGAUGCUGCGUGUCACGGUGAUGCUGCGCGUCCCGGAGACAGUGGAUGUGUGCGAGCUACUGGGAUUGUGUGGCCGCGUGCUUCGCUGGGUGUCGGGGGAAGGUGCGCGCGUCUCCGGGCCUCCUGCCCGAGAACAGCGGCGCUGCUUUCUGAUUGGCUGCGGCCUCGCCAGUGAGAAGCUCGCGAAUCCUGCGGUAACUUGUCAUGCUCAGAAUUCACUUUUCAUUCUGCGGAGACAGCCGGGGGACUAUUCGCUACUUCAUCCUCGCCCCUCCCCGCAGGCCUACGCUUCUGGCAGCAGGCCCCACGCAGGGCAGACUUCAGGAAGGACUUCCCGCCCUGGUUCAGCACCGGAGCUUUAUCGCUCGGGCCAGGCGGAGGCCAGGCGGCCCCGUGGCUUCCGGAGGCGCCCGGGCGGGAUGAGCUCACUGCUAGUUGGCUUGGAUUUCAUCAGCUUCCUCUGCUGGAGUUGCCCCCACUCCUUUUCCCGCGCGGGCCGCUCAGGCGAAUCCUUCGGGCGCCUGCUGCCCUCGAGCGGCGAAAUGGGGAAGCGCAGGUGCCGCGUAAAGGCCACCUUUGCCACUGACUGACCAUGUCGCCAGUUUAUGAAUGCUGCAAAUGUGAACCCAUCUAAUCCUCACAACGACCCCUUGGGGAAGAGACCAUCUUAAAUUCCAGUUACAACGGGUAAACUGAGAGAAAGAGCACAAGCAGGGGGAGCAGCAGGCAGAAGGAGAGGGAGAAGCAGACUGCCGAUGAGGGAGCCCGAUGCAGGACUCAAUCCUGGGAUUCUGGGAUCAUGACCCGAGCCGAAGGCUGACGCUUCACCCACUGAGCCACCCAGGCGUCCCGCUGCUGUGGACACUCCUGUACUUGACAUGGCGUUUGGUGAACGUGUGCACACAUUUCUGUUGGGUCAAUCCCUCCGAGAGCAUUUGCUGGCUCAUAGGGGAUUCCACUGCUUCCGUCGAGUGGAAACUGUGCUUCGUUGCGUUCAGAAAUCAACCAAGGGUGAUGCACCGUUUUGGAUCAUCAGGUCACCCCUGCAACCCCACUCCUGCUGUCUCAUCGCAGCGUCUAUUCGGGAGUCCACGUAAAGACAGGCGCAUAAGAAGGGGCCACACACGCGCAUGCGUGCGCGCUCAGCCCGUUUACAAAAUCUCAACUACAACAAAAGGGUGUUGUUCAGUUAGCAAGCAUUCCAACUCUCUUACGCUCAAACACAUUCACUUUAUUAUUUUUUUUAAAGAUUUUAUUUAUUUAUUCGACAGAGAGAUAGAGACAGCCAGCGAGAGAGGGAGCACAAGCAGGGGGAGUGGGAGAGGAAGAAGCGGGCUCACAGCAGAGGAGCCUGAUGUGGGGCUCGAUCCCACAACGCCGGGAUCACGCCCUGAGCCGAAGGCAAAUGCUUAACCGCUGUGCCACCCAGGCGCCCCAUCAAACACGUUCACUUUAAGAGCUGAAAGCAUUUGGCUACCUCUUGACGAUUUCCAGUGUCAUCGUACGAAUGCAUUUUCACACGUGUUGCUUUAUUAUAAAUUUCUUCCCUUCGAUUUCUGUAAUUUCUCCCUUGUGGUAAAUUUAGGUUAUUAUACUAAAAAUGGUGUAUGCAGGGGUGCCUGGUUGGCUCAGUCAGAAGAGCACGAGACUCUUGGUCUUGGAGACAUGAGUUUGAGCCCUACGUUGGGGAUAGAGUUUACUUAAAAAAAAAAAAAUGAUUGGGACAACUGGGCCGCACCUAGCUACCCGCUCAAUGGGGAGUCUGCUUCUCCUCCCUCUGCCCUUCUCUCCUGCUUGUGUUCUCGCUCUCAAAUGGAUGAAUAAAAUCUUAAAAAAAAAAUAAAAGAUGUACGUAGGUAGGACAUACUGUCUAGGCAUUUCAUUUAGGGAUAGUGGAAGGGGUAUUUUGCAAGGAGUUUAUGUCAUAAUGUGUGUUUGGGAUACGAUGGGGUUGGGUCCUGCUGGUCUAAUGGGCUGGGGACACCGAAGGUUUGGGAGAACCAGGUUGCUUUAGUGAUUCCAUAUGUAUGGAGAACUACGUGGCCUUGUGGUGGACAGUGCUGGGGACCUAGUGGUGACAGUGACAACCUCAGCCCUGCACCUACAGGUCUCGAGUCCAGCGAGGGACACAGACCUGACCCUGGGCAGUGAGGACCUGAGUGGGCAGGACUGUGAUGUGAGAAUCCAGGGGGAAUGGGGGUGACAGCCCAGAGUGGCACCUGACCUAGGUGGGGGUCAAGGAGGGUUUCCUGGAGGAAGUGGCAUCCGUGCUGAGCCUGGAGGAAAAGGUGUUCUAAGCAGGAGGAAUAGCUUGUGCCACAUCCCAGACACGCGAGACAGUGAGUUGGUGUCACGGAACCAAAAACAUUCUUCAGCGGGGCUGGAGCAACAUUUCCUAAGGUUGGCCUCACUGGGUCCUGGGCAGUGUCUUUGGGUGUGAAGGGCUCCAUGGAGGGCUGGGCCACGUGAAGGCUCGCAAGACCCUGGGACUGGGUUCCAAUCCUGGCCCAGCCACCACUGUCGUGGGUCGAAUUGUGGGUCCCAAGAUACCUUCACUGGGAACAUGGGAGCAUGACCUUCUCUGGAAUAAGGGUCUUUGCGGGUGCACUUCUAUCAAGGAUCUUGAGAUGUGAUCAUCCGGGAGCAGGGGAGGCCCUACACCCCAUGACAGGUGUCUCUGGAAGAGACAGAAAAGGAGAAGACACAGAGCCACGUGUCUUCUCAGAGAGGAAGGCCACGUGAAGACCCAGGCAGACAUCGGAGUGAUGUGUGUACCAGCCAAGGAAUGCGGAGAACUGCUGACUGCCACCAGAAGCGAGGACUGAGGCCUGGGACAGAUCCUCCCUCGGAGGCUCCGGAAGGGGCAACUCGGCCCGCACUUUGAUUUCAGACUUGUGGCCUCUGGAGCUG